AUUGAACGCUGGCGGCAGGCUUAACACAUGCAAGUCGAGCGAGCGGCGGACGGGUGAGUAAUGUAUGGGAAAUUGCCUGAUGGAGGGGGAUAACUACUGGAAACGGUAGCUAAUACCGCAUACCAUCAGAUGUGCCCAGAUGGGAUUAGCUAGUAGGUGGGGUAAUGGCUCACCUAGGCGACGAUCCCUAGUUGGUCUGAGAGGAUGACCAGCCACAGUGGAACUGAGACGCGAUCCAGACUCCUACGGGAGGCAGCAGUGGGGAAUAUUGCACAAUGGGCGCAAGCCUGAUGCAGCCAUGCCGCGUGUGUGAAGAAGGCCUUCGGGUUGUAAAGCACUUUCAGCGAGGAAGCGUUACUCGCAGAAGAAGCACCGGCUAACUCCGUGCCAGCCGCCGCGGUAAUAC
rnacentral:rRNA from 1 species